CAUGCAAGUCGAGUGCGCGCCUGUAGCAAUACAGGUGGCGCACGGCGCACGGGUGCGUAACACGUGGGCAAUCUGCCCUUCGAUGGGGAAUAACCCCGGGAAACCGGGGCUAAUUCCGCAUAAUAUUCCGAUAACUAACGUUCUUGGAUUCAAAGCCGUAAGGCGUCGAAGGAGGAGCCCGCGCACGAUUAGCUAGUUGGUGAGGUAACGGCUCACCAAGGCUAUGAUCGUUAGCUGGUCUGAGAGGAUGGCCAGCCACACUGGAACUGAGACACGGUCCAGACUCCUACGGGAGGCAGCAGUGGGGAAUCUUGCACAAUGGGCGAAAGCCUGAUGCAGCGACGCCGCGUGGGGGAUGAAGCUUUUCGGAGUGUAAACCCCUUUCGACCCGGACGAAUGCCCCGCAAGGGGACUGACGGUACGGGUAUAAGAAGCCCCGGCUAACUACGUGCCAGCAGCCGCGGUAAGACGUAGGGGGCCAGCGUUGCUCGGAAUUACUGGGUGUAAAGGGUUCGUAGGCGGUGUGGCAAGUCGGGAGUGAAAUCUCUGGGCUCAACCCAGAGGCUGCUUCCGAAACUGCUGUGCUUGAGUGUGGGAGAGGCGCGUGGAAUUGCAGGUGUAGCGGUGAAAUGCGUAGAUAUCUGCAGGAACACCCGUGGCGAAAGCGGCGCGCUGGACCACAACUGACGCUGAGGAACGAAAGCUAGGGGAGCAAACAGGAUUAGAUACCCUGGUAGUCCUAGCCCUAAACGAUCAGGACUUGGGGUGCUUCACGUUCGUGGAGCGUCCCGGAGCUAACGCGUUAAGUCCUGCACCUGGGGAGUACGGUCGCAAGACUGAAACUCAAAGGAAUUGACGGGGGCCCGCACAAGCGGUGGAACAUGUGGUUCAAUUCGACGCUACGCGAGGAACCUUACCUGGGCUCGAAGCGCACUUGACUAGCUAUAGAAAUAUGG
rnacentral:rRNA from 1 species